CAGGCCCUGGGCCACUGCAAAUCACAGGGCCAGGAAAGCUGAAAAAGUUCAUCCAUCAGGAAGCCCAAAAGCCAGUUGUUACAAAAGCACGCGGCAGCUUUCUGGUUUCUGUAUCCGUCCUGUAAACCGAGCAUUCCUUUCCACCUCUUGCGCACUGAGCCGGGUGUCAUCUGCCGUACACAGUGAAUGACAGCUUUGAGUCUCUCCUUCAUUGGCGGGACCGAGCAGUUUCUGGGCCCAUCUGCGAGGCUUCUUAGGAUGAAGAUAUCAGCCUUGGAGCACUCUGUGUGUUCCUGCUGCACACCGAGCACCCUCAGUGUGGGUCCUUUUCCUUUACAUUCCUUGCGUUCCUAAAGAUAACUGCUGGCCUGGAAUCACUGGGUCUCACAUUCUCUUACUUGAAACUGACUGUGUG
rnacentral:lncRNA from 1 species